UUCAGAUUUCAUAAAUAAAAAGAAAAUUUCUUCAAACAUUUUUUUGAGAGGAUUAAUAUUCAACAGCAUAGUGAAUUGCUCAAAGGCAAACAUUUUUUUUUUUUUAAGUUCAUUAGACCACAUUCAUUCUGUGUCAGAAACCUAUGCUGUGUCAACUAUUUAAUUACAAUCCAAAUUUAGAGCUGAAUCCAGCUUGAAUGUUGUGUCCAUAUUUGCCCCAACCGUUCAGGGUUCAACCUCUGCGGUCGUAUAAAGCUGCGCCCUGCGGAGCAUCUGGUCUUUUUUGAUAUGCUGAAUCUUACUGUGUAUUUAGAUUCUUAAUUUUUGAUCCCGUUUUCAAAUUGGUCUUCAUUAAGGUCCAAAGGGUCCAAAAGUAAAUUUUGUUUGAUUUCAACAUAAAUUGAAUAAAUGGGAUUCUUUGACAUGCUGAAUUUAACCAUGUAUUUAGAUUUUUUAUGUUUUGGCCCCUUUAUCAGAUCGGUCCACAUUGAGUUCUAAAGGGUCCAAAAUUGAAUUGUUUUUGAUUUCAUCAAAAAUUGAAUUCUUUGGGUUCUUUGAUAUGUUGAAUCUAACAAUGUAUUUAGAUUUCGACAUUGGACCAUAAUAGGUAAAUGUCCAAUUUAAAUUUUCUAAGUUCUUAGACCACAUUCAUUCUGUGUCAGAAACCUUUUCUGUGUCAACUAUUUAAUCACAAUCAAAAUUCAGAGCUGUAUCAAGCUUGAAUGUUGUGUCCAUACUUGCCCCAACUGUUCAGGGUUCAACCUCUGCGGUGGUAUCAAGCUGCGCUCUGCGGAGCAUCUGGUUAACUUUGAAUUUAAUUUGUAUAUUAUUUAUUGUCACUACAUCUCAUAAAAUAAACAUGUACUUAAUCAGGAUCAUUUAUGUUGAUUGUAUUAAACAAAAUGUAAUUAAAAGGUGUGGUAAACGUUAGAAAUCUCUUUAAAGAUGUUGAUGGAACCUCAUGUAUGGGUUGGUCUUUUUUUUAUUUCAGUGUUUUUAUUUAUGAACAAAUAUAUGGGAGAACUUUGACAUAUGACAUAAUGUUAAUAUAUAGGAUAUUUCUUAUAAAUGAAGAUUUUCACCAAUAUAAGCAUUUUAUGUCUUUUGUCCUGAAAACUGUAAUAGUUAUAGAUAAACAACUGUAAAAUAGCAACCAUGCUUUAUUACUAUCUUUGAAUAAAACCUUUAAAUGAAUCUUUACACGAGUUCUGGACCUUAGAUUGUAACAGUUGACAAUUUUUUAUACAACAAUACUGAAUGUGGAAAUUCUAACAUGAACAAAAUACUCAGAACAAGACAGAACUACCAAAAUUGUAAUUCAGUUGUUGCCCUUUGAUUGGGAUUUUUCUCUUGAACAGAAGAAUAGAUAAAUAUAGAAUGAGAAAAUACACAUGCAAACUUAAUAAACAUGUCAAAUAUUUCAUUUAGCAUUGCUAGGGAAAAUAGAAUAUUUAUACAGAUUUUUAGAAAAGCAUACGUGUUUAGUUGUGUGAUUAAACUACACAGAAUAUAAGUGUGAGAAUUUUAUUGGUGCAAUAUAGACUUUUUAGUAUGAGUAUUAGCAUUAAGUGGACUUAUACCGGAAAUCUCAUCUUAUUCAUAUAUUGACUUUCCAAAGGCAAGCUCUACAUACUAAUUUCAUUUUUUCUCUUUUAAUCUUAUUUUCUUUUCAUCUGUAAAACAUUUUAUUUGAAAACAAUAACAUAUAAAUUGACUGACUUGUAACUUUUAUAUUGUAAGUAGCAUUUUUUACAUUACAAAUACUGAAAAGUUGCUACAACAUUGUUGUAAAAUAUGCAUGUUGAAAAUAAAAAUGUUAGUUUAUUUUCCAUUUU
rnacentral:lncRNA from 1 species